GUGCCAGCAGCCGCGGUAAGACGUAGGGGGCGAGCGUUGUCCGGAUUUAUUGGGCGUAAAGAGCUCGUAGGCGGCUCACUAAGUCGGAUGUGAAAACUCCAGGCUCAACCUGGAGACGCCAUUCGAUACUGGUGUGGCUAGAGUCCAGUAGGGGAGUGUGGAAUUCCUGGUGUAGCGGUGAAAUGCAUAGAUAUCAGGAGGAACACCAGCGGCGAAGGCGGCACUCUGGGCUGGAACUGACGCUGAGGAGCGAAAGCGUGGGGAGCGAACAGGAUUAGAUACCCCCGUAGUCC
rnacentral:rRNA from 1 species